AGGUUACUGCUAUCGAGGUUCGACUAAGCCAUGCGAGUCGAAUGUAGCAAUACAUGGCGAACUGCUCAGUAACACGUGGACAACCUGCCCUUAGGUUGGGUAUAAACCCGGGAAACUGGGUAUAAUACCCGAUAGGUCUCGAUUGCUGGAAUGCAUCGAGAUUUAAAGCUCCGGCGCCUAAGGAUGGGUCUGCGGCCUAUCAGGUAGUAGUGGGUGUAGCGUACCUACUAGCCUACGACGGGUACGGGUUGUGAGAGCAAGAGCCCGGAGAUGGAUUCUGAGACACGAAUCCAGGCCCUACGGGGUGCAGCAGGCGCGAAAACUUUACAAUGCUGGCAACAGCGAUAAGGGAACCUCGAGUGCCAGGUUACAAAUCUGGCUGUCGAGAUGCCUAAAAAGCAUUUCAUAGCAAGGGCCGGGCAAGACCGGUGCCAGCCGCCGCGGUAACACCGGCGGCUCGAGUGGUAACCGUUAUUAUUGGGUCUAAAGGGUCUGUAGCCGGCCGGAUAAGUCUCUUGAGAAAUCUGGCAGCUUAACUGUCAGGCUUUCAGGAGAUACUGUCUGGCUCGAGGCCGGGAGAGGUGAGAGGUACUUCAGGGGUAGGAGUGAAAUCUUGUAAUCCUUGAAGGACCACCAGUGGCGAAGGCGUCUCACCAGAACGGACCUGACGGCAAGGGACGAAAGCUAGGGGCACGAACCGGAUUAGAUACCCGGGUAGUCCUAGCCGUAAACGAUACUCGCUAGGUGUCGGCCACGGUGCGACCGUUGUCGGUGCCGUAGGGAAGCCGUGAAGCGAGCCACCUGGGAAGUACGGCCGCAAGGCUGAAACUUAAAGGAAUUGGCGGGGGAGCACCACAACGGGUGGAGCUUGCGGUUU
rnacentral:rRNA from 1 species